AAUCUAAACUGGCAUUACACUAAUACAAGUUUCUCUGUCCAUUGCAUUUCCAGUUCACAAUUUUUAAUCACAGCUUCAAGCCACCACUGAACUCCACACCCGUGAAAUUUUCAAUAUGCAUAUUCUCCAGCAUCUUGGAACUCAGAAGAACUGUAUGAAUAUAUAAUGUUUGAAGGCAAGAAUGAACAGAAUACUCCAAUAAAACUGGAAUAAAUUCUUGUAAAUUAGUCCAAUGAUUAACUAUAAGUAAAUCAAUACACAAAUUAACACUAGAAUUCUGUAACCGAAACAAGCUUUCAAAAAGGAAUGGCAUCCACACUGACACUCUUGCUAUAGAAGCAAAACUACCAAGCUUUCAAUACAUUCUUUGGUAUUUCAAUUUUCAAAUAUCAGCAAUCACUAAUUUCUACAAUGACUAAUGUAUAGAAUGGAAUGAUGCAUCAAGACUUCCACUUUUCAAGCCCAAACAUUGCGGCAAAAAUGAAAGAGAACUUCAAGGGGCAAUAGAAGCGACAGCAAUCUAAGCCAUCCAAUUCACAGCUACACUGCAUUCACUGGCUGCACAACAGCAUCUCUCUGUGUCUUACACCUAUAGAAGAACUUCCAACAUUCAGCAAAAAGCAUAAUGAUAUAAAAAUGCAUAGAAGGUUGUAAAUUUUUUCUAUAGUUAAACUCAUUAACCUUCAAUAGAUAAAUGAAGAACAUAACCAAAAAUAACAGCUUAGGUUACUGUGUUUCCUUUAUUUUAGGAUGGCCAAUAGAUUUUAGCUGGCAAUUUCAGAGGAUUUUUGUAUGGAACAUUAUCUCGCCAAACAAUAUACAUUGGAGGUUCAAUGCUAACCAUUUGGACGCUCCUGCACUUAGAAAAACAAAUAGGUGAUGGAAAUUGUAGCUGCCAAAGAAGUUAAGGUGACAUCCACAGUUUACCCAGCGCAAGGAAAAGAAUAUGCAAUGAAAGAAAACAGGAGAAGGGUUUGAAGGGAAAGGCCAGAGGAUACGGUGAAAGGAUGCAUAAAGUAAUGAAUAUUCCAUUCACCAGCUGAUAAUGAGGAAAAUACAAAAAUCCAAGAUUAAACAAUAAAGUUGUGAAUAGUUAAAAUAAUUACUCUCACCAAAAUAAUGUUAACUAAUUACAUGAGUGAAAUUUCCUGUUAAUUCAUUUCAAACAAAAACUGACAUGCAAAUAGUUUGACAUACAUAAUACAAUCCCAGAUCAACUACAUGACAUCCAUAACAACCAGCUUUCAGACAGUUUAGGAAAUCCAUAAAAUAAUUUAGAAACUAACCUAUUGCAUUGUGAUCGAGAUGCAUAAUUAUGAUUGUUGCAAUUUGUACACAUCCAAUCUCCAUUACGCCAUUGCUUUGCUCUGUGAAGGAUAUGAGGAAAAGGUAUUAAAAAUCAACCACAAAAGCAAUUGUCAAUAUCACGCAGGAGAUAUGGGAACUCAGUCCUCACAACAUGCUCCAAAAAGGCCCAAAUAAUCCAAGCUGGGGACAAUUGCUUUAGAAUAUUUCUUUCACAUUCUUAUCUUUAGUAAAUAAUGAACAAUACAACUUAUAUUACCAUAAUAAAUCUGUUAAUCAGCUUCAAAGUUUUUAUUUGGAUUGUGCAUUAAAGGAUUCUAUUUUGUAUUUGCCCCACACAAAUAAUAUGCGAAAAGUUAUCCAGAAAAGUCCUAGCUUGCAGUAUCUUUGCAGAAGAAGCUUAUAUUGUUGCCCCAGUCAAUGGCCUUUUCUCAUAAACUCACUGACUAAUUAACAUGGCAAUAGUUGUAAAUCAGUUGCAAGAUGAACACCAGAAAACUGAAAAAGCUUGAUCUUCACAGUUAGUCAGCAAUUCAGUGUGCCAGAAGCCGCAUAUGUGCUUAGUCUCUCACAGCGUAUGUGUCUAAUUUGAUAAGUUGAACACUGUGAAGGAGUAACUCAAUCAGCAUUACCCUUUUCCAAGGAGUGCAGGUGUUGCUACUUGAAGUGGGAAUUGCAAUGGUGCCUGCCAAUUUGGAGCUGCACCUGAGUUAACACUGGGAUAGGGAGCAUACAAUCCUGGUCUUGGAUCACCAGUGUUCCCUACCAUUUGGUUGAAUCCUGUAUAUGUUUGAUGUCCUCCAUUUGUCUGCAUAUUAUUUCCUGAAUUCAGUCUCUUGUUCUCCCAGUCCUGAGUAAAAUCUUCAGAUGCCAAUCGCUUUGUUCCAAGUGCUGGUGGUAUAGAAGCAUUGCAAUUUUUACACUGUGCACGUGAAGAGUAAUUAUGGAAGCCACAAUUACACAUCCAAUCACCAUUUCGCCAUCCUUUUGGAACUGUAAGAGGUUGAUUUAUGGGGUUUGCAUAUGGAGGUCCAGAAAUCUGGUUUCCACCUAAAGGCCAAGUAGAAGCUGACUGAACUUCGUACUUAUCAGGUCCUCCAGCAGACCAGGUUGAAGCAAAAGGAAGUGGCUGCUGGAGAGCACCAUUGCUAGCAAAUCCAAUAUUCAUCUUUUGUUCCAGUCCUCCUGGGGCCCUGGCAAAAUAAUGUGAAUAAGUUGGGAGAGAAGCUCCAGGCAUUGCAAUUGCUGGCAUUGCUGCUACCUCCUUUGGUUGACCACAUUUUUUGCACUUUUCUCUUGAUGCAUAAUUGUUGUUAGUGCAACCUAUUGAUCCAUUGCCAUACACACGCAACCCACAAUGCAGCCACGAAGAUGGAAAGGAAGCCAUGUAUACGCACACCAACCAGCCCCAUUCAAUACCAAAAUACACAUAAAAAGUGAAAAAAAAAACAAAAAAACUCAACCUAAUUGAUCGCAAGUUCUUCAUUUUAAUUUGACAAAAAAGACACAAAGUAAUAGGCAAGAUAAGAUGAUAAUUAGAGGGGGAAAAACAGACAAAAAGUAAUAGUCAAGAUAAGAUGAUAAUUAGAAGGGGAAAAAAUAUCAUGUCUCACAAAUACAAAAAAUAAAUAAAUAAAUAAGCAAAAAUUAAAAUUUGCAUAUCUACCAUAAAAAUAGGACUGCCUUAAGCCUACCAGCAAAAGACAAUAGUCAAGUUUUGAUCAUAGUUUUCUACUUAAAUUAUCUGCAAAUUGUGGGAAAAAAAGGUUAUGCAAGCUGGGUCAUUAAAAACUCUACAAGUAAAAAGGUUUUGGGAAAUGGCUACCACCAAAGCCAGUUAGCUACUUUGCUUUCAAUUUGAGGAAACAUUCUUAACAAACUACCUAAUAAAACUCCGUAAGACAUCCAGAAAGCUCCAGCAAUAAUCAUUUCAGAAACAUAAUAGCACAUCCAUCUUAACAGAGAUAUUAUAGCCUAAUAAAGACCAGGAUUAACAACCAACAACAGGAGCAUAAUUAAUAGUUCCACGUUAAAUACAACAACUAAACCCCUCGGUGCAACUAUUCAACACCUGAAGCGCAAAUAAAAGAAGAACUCCAAAAACUGGCCCUAAACCCUAAACCACCAAACAAAACCUAUUACACCAUUAAAAAUAAUAAUAAAUAUUAUAAUUCUAUCAAAAACAGAAUAACACACUAACACCCUAUUAUUCUCAUUAAAAAUGAUAAAACUAACAAUAAUAAUUCGCUCCAAUCACCACAAGCUGAAAAUUCUAAUAGAUACAGAGACGCAAGAAAGGAGGAGAGAGAGACUAACCGGUGCAGAUCCAAUCGCCUAUGCGAGGAAGCCAUUUGGAAUCCGCAGGGGUUUUGGUGUCGACGAGAAGACGAGGCUGCUUGCAUCUAUUGCAGAAGGAUCUAAAGGCGUAGUUCCUGUUCUUGCACCCACUGCACUCCCAGUCUCCUUCUCUUCCUUCUCCCAUUCUGGUUGCUUCUCUUCCUUUCCCUUCCUCUUUCUGCGUACCGUCGACAGUGAAAUUUGAUUAAAAGUUCGGUGUUC
rnacentral:misc_RNA from 1 species